GGGUGGGGGGGCAAAAAGGGUACCUGGGAGAAGGUUUCCAUUCUGUCUUUAGUUGCUCAGCAAACACAACUCUUCUUUCCCCUUGAUAGGUAGCCAAGCCCCUUUGAAAGGUAGCUCAGCAAUUUAAGCCUCUCAGUCACACAUCCUUGUUCCUAUUCACUUUCUUUUUAAUAUUCAUAUCUUUGCUUAGGGAGAAACACUGCUUUCUGUUGGCUGUUUGUUUCUGCCUGGGCUGUAUAACUUUUGGUAAGCAAGCCAAAGGUAGUGCUUGUCUUAGAGCCAAGUAAAACAUCACUUAGCUAAGGUACUUAGAUACUACCUAGGCCUGACUGGUACUGACCAUGGACCAUUUUCAAAUGCCAUCACAAUGAAGGAGAAUAUCUUCUGUGUAUUUAUGUUUUCUGUGAGACUGUCAAAUGAAUAUAGUGGAUAGAAUACAUGACACUGAAUUAGAUUGGAAGUGUGACUGACUGGAUUGUGUGGAUAUAAUGACUGAACAGACAAUUAGAAUUGAAUGGAAAGUGUGGUCUGAACAUUGAAUUUUAUCUCUUUUUAUGUUUUGAAUCAUUGAGUCAGCUCAUGGUAAUGAAUGCAAAUGUACUAAUUAACUAAACCAUGUUAAGUUUUUGUAUGUUCAAUUGUUUUUCUUUGUCUGUAUGAAGAAUUAAAAUUGUUGCUGACUUCAUUGAUGAUUGACAGUGCCACAUUAUAUUAUAUGGCAUAUUCACAUAGAGGAACUUACUGUUCUAGCUUGACUUGGGUUAAAUAAAUAAAUAAAUUGUUUUUGAAACAAAGCA